rnacentral:rRNA from 1 species
ACUGAACGCUGGCGGCAGGCCUAACACAUGCAAGUCGAGCGGAUGAAGGGAGCUUGCUCCUGGAUUCAGCGGCGGACGGGUGAGUAAUGCCUAGGAAUCUGCCUGGUAAUGGGGGAUAACGUCCGGAAACGGGCGCUAAUACCGCAUACGUCCUGAGGGAGAAAGUGGGGGAUCUUCGGACCUCACGCUAUCAGAUGAGCCUAGGUCGGAUUAGCUAGUUGGUGGGGUAAAGGCCUACCAAGGCGACGAUCCGUAACUGGUCUGAGAGGAUGAUCAGUCACACUGGAACUGAGACACGGUCCAGACUCCUACGGGAGGCAGCAGUGGGGAAUAUUGGACAAUGGGCGAAGGCCUGAUCCAGCCAUGCCGCGUGUGUGAAGAAGGUCUUCGGAUUGUAAAGCACUUUAAGUUGGGAGGAAGGGCAGUAAGUUAAUACCUUGCUGUUUUGACGUUACCAACAGAAUAAGCACCGGCUAACUUCGUG